GGCGGGAUAGCUCAGCUGGUAGAGCACAUGACUGAAAAUCAUGGUGUCCCCGGUUCGAAUCCGGGUCCCGCCA
rnacentral:tRNA from 1 species